UGAGGAAUAUUGGUCAAUGGGCGGGAGCCUGAACCAGCCAAGCCGCGUGAGGGAAGAAGGCCCUAUGGGUCGUAAACCUCUUUUGUCAGGGAACAAAAGCGAGUAUGUAUACUGGUCUGAGUGUACCUGAAGAAAAAGCAUCGGCUAACUCCGUGCCAGCAGCCGCGGUAAUACGGAGGAUGCGAGCGUUAUCCGGAUUUAUUGGGUUUAAAGGGUGCGUAGGCGGCGGUGCAAGUCAGCGGUAAAAUGCCCGGGGCUCAACCCCGGCGAGCCGUUGAAACUGCAGUGCUAGAGAAGCGAGAGGUACGCGAAUGCGCAGUGUAGCGGUGAAAUGCUUAGAUAUUGCGCAGAACUCCGAUUGCGAAGGCAGCGUACUGGCGCCUGACUGACGCUGAGGCACGAAAGCGUGGGGAUCGAACAGGAUUAGUACC
rnacentral:rRNA from 1 species